GAGUUUUGAAGAGGAAGUGAAGAAUCGCGGGGUGGUGGUGGUUAGGUCGCAGCAAAGAUCUCCGCCCUAUGAUCUUUGGGUCGGGGUGUCUGGGUGGAUAGAGGAGCCGAGAGUGGCAAGUGUCUGAAGGUUUGAGCAGCCUCUGAAUAGUUGAUACGAUGGUCCUGGUACGUAUGUUCAUCAAUCUUUGUACAGGACUGCUACUCAUGCCAGGUGUGUUGCGAAAAGCUAGUAUGCUCAGAGUGUGCUGCUGGAUACCCUGUAGUAGCCUGGGGAUCACUUGGAUCAGGUGCCACUGGAGGCUCAACAGAGGUUAAACGAGCACAAAGAUUGUACACGACCUGCAGCAGCGUGGAGCAGUGGUGGAGGAUACCAAUAUCAUCGCCAGGCCUGGCCGACCCCUGCAAUUCUGACCCAGUGCCACCACUAGUACAACGGGCCUUUGAGGCCAAAUUAAAACACUGUCUUUUUACGAACUUUGAUCUUGAAGGAUUCAAGAUGGUGCCGGAAGCAUGGUGGCUUUUCUAUACUGCCCAGUGUUCCUAUACUCUUGUUCUUGGGAAAUCUCAUCUCUGGUUUAAACUGCAAAGCUCUGGAUAUGUGUAACAGAGACUAUGUCAUGCUGAUUUUAAAAUGCAUCACAUUAUGCUGAGAUACACCACAUUUUAACAGUGCCCUCUAAAGUAUCAAUGGCAUUAUUCAACAAGGUAAGGAAAUUUGGUGAGGUGAGAGCAAAGCUCAAUAAUUGAUGAACUAUGAAUGGGGUGCAAGCUAUAAGUGAAGCAGAUUUAGGGAUAUAGAGGUAUUAAUGACAUCCAAUUAAUUCAUGCAAUUGUCCAGCAGAUAGUUAAUUCAUGCAGCCCGUGUGAACAUUGAGUAGAGACUACAAGAAGGAUGACCACAGCACUGAGAUUCAGGAAGCCAUUCAGGUUUGGAGAGUUCAGGGCACGUAGGAGAUAAGAGUUCAAGGAAUAAAUACUGUUCAUACAGGAGUGAAGGCCAUAUUUCAAUUCAUUAGGCACUUAUAAGAAAAGCCUGAGACCAGUAAAUUUAACAUUGUGGUCGGCAAGUUAUUGGGGUUGAUUAGGGAUAGUCAGCAUGGUUUUGCGUGUGUGUGUUCGUAUCUGGCGAAUUUCUUUUUUUUUUUGUAAGUAACCAACCAAGAGGGAUAAUGUAGGUUGGGCCAGUUCAGCAAGGCCAGACCGCAAGCAGGGAGAUGUAGAGCUAGUCCAGUCCAUCACAGACCAGACUUCCCACCAUUGAUUCCAUCAACACUUCCCACUGCCUCAGAAAAGCAGCCAGCAUUGUCAACUACUCGUCUCACAGCGAUCCUUCCUCCCCCCUGCCACUUGGUGCAAAAGUUACAGAAGCUUGAAAGUGCACACCAGACUCAGGUAAAGCUUCAGCACCUGUUAUCAGGCUUCUGAACAGUAUUUCCAUAAACUACAGUGCUGUCCAAUUCACCUCAACCCCAUUGUGGCCAUUUGGCUUUGUCUAUGGAAUUGUUUGGCUACAAUGCCAAGUACUAUAUUCUGCACUCUGUAUCUUCCCCUUUGUUCUAUCUAUUGUACUUGAGUUUGAUUUGAUUGUAUUUAUGUAUAGUAUUAUCUGAUCUGAUUGGAUAGCAUGCAAAACAAAGCUUUUAACCGCAGCUCAGUACACGUGAUAAUAAUAAGCCUAAACUUUAGAUGUAAAGAAGAAAAAAAAAAAAAGGAGAAACCCAGCAAAAUGCUUCUGGGAACUCUGACUUUUAUGGGGAUUAUUUAGAAAUAGUCUGAGGGAAACAUAUAAUGCUGCUUCAAUGAUAUUUAAAAGCAAACAAACUUUCAGUAGGUUACAAUUUUGUGGAAGAAAAAUGACUGUGUGGGCAAUAAAUCAGACGGCUGACCAACAUCCAGUGGGGUUAAUGCCUUUAGGAGUCGAGAUGUCAAAUCAGUGAAAACAAGCUUAAGAUUGGCAACACUCCACACUUCUGUAGAUUCCCAAAACUCCAGCCAGGAAAUUCAACGAUGAUCAGGUGCAAUAAAUGUACACUUUCCAUUCUGCUGUCAAAUUUCAAAAUCUGCGAGGCGCAUUUAGGUUCACCUUAUAUCUUUAGUGUUAACUGACAUGAAAUCUUAAACAUUAUUUUUCAAAUUAGUACAAAAGUAAUUAGACUUGGCGAGUCAAAGUAUAUGGGAAUGACAG